rnacentral:rRNA from 1 species
AGUGAACGCUGGCGGUAGGCCUAACACAUGCAAGUCGAACGGCAGCACAGUAAGAGCUUGCUCUUACGGGUGGCGAGUGGCGGACGGGUGAGGAAUACAUCGGAAUCUACUUUUUCGUGGGGGAUAACGUAGGGAAACUUACGCUAAUACCGCAUACGACCUACGGGUGAAAGCAGGGGAUCUUCGGACCUUGCGCGAUUGAAUGAGCCGAUGUCGGAUUAUCUAGUUGGCGGGGUAAAGGCCCACCAAGGCGACGAUCCGUAGCUGGUCUGAGAGGAUGAUCAGCCACACUGGAACUGAGACACGGUCCAGACUCCUACGGGAGGCAGCAGUGGGGAAUAUUGGACAAAGGGCGCAAGCCUGAUCCAGCCAUACCGCGUGGGUGAAGAAGGCCUUCGGGUUGUAAAGCCCUUUUGUUGGGAAAGAAAAGCAGCAGGUUAAUACCCCGCUGUUCUGACGGUACCCAAAGAAUAAGCACCGGCUAACUUCGUG